rnacentral:tRNA from 1 species
UCUCUGCUAGUAUAUCGGUUAGUACACGCGCCUGUCAUUCCUUGCGUUGUCGCAUUGAUUUCAAACGCGCGAAAGCUGGGUUCGACUCCCAGGCAGAGAG